AACUCAAACCAACUUUGGAGUUGUCUGAUUUGGAGAGUCAUCAUUCUUGGUCUUCCUUUCUUAAAGGAAUAGUUCACACAAAAAAAAUCAUUGCCCUCAUGUCAUUCCAAACCUAUAAGACUUUUGUCUGUCUUUACAACACAAAUGAAUAUACUUUUAAUUUUCUCAUAAUGUUUUGUUAAUCCAUCGAGAGUCUAGAUAAUCGGUAUUUUCAAGCCUCAUAAAUACAGAGUUAUUGUAGAAGUAAUCCAUUCCAAUAUUUAUAUAUGAAUAAAGAAAGAAAGAAAAUAUUGGUCUACCAGAGUAGCAAUGGAGGACAAAAAUUAAGAGAAUAUUAAAUACAUUUAUUUGUGUUCCAAAAAUUAGCUUUAAAAUUAGAGUUUGUAUGGGUCUGGAACAACAUGGGGGAGAGUAAAUUAUGACCAUUUUCAUUUUUUGGUGAACUAACCCUUCGAAGAGCAGCCCUCCAGGUACAUGAACAUUUGUGAGGUAUGUGAAUGUCAUGUCUGUUUUAAUGUUUCAGUAAAGUAGUAGCUUUCUGAAAGCAAUAUUUUUAUUCAAACAAUAUUACAUGCCCUCACACUAGUGCUGCCAUUAUAGCAUUCAGGAGCGCUGUGGUAGACAGAGACAUUAAACGACCACACAAAGUGUUGAAAUUAUAAAACAGACUAUUUACCUUUCCUUACUGAUGUGAAUACAUCUCUAUCUGAAAAUGGAUAGAGUUUAAUUAAAUGUUUAAAUGGGAUGAAUGCUGGUCAAAGAAGAGAAUGUCCUUUCCCCUAAACUGAUGCAAGAGUGGUUUUAAAGGAGGCUGCCCUGGAUGAUGUAGAAGAUGCCGUCACAUGCUGUGCUGAUGGGGCUUCUUCAUGACUACAUCAAUUAUGCUAAAGAGAUCAUGAAAAUUGACAGUGAUGCGUGAUCUGUAUUCAUGCACUAUGAAACAAACUGUAAGUGUAUAAUUUGUAAAAACAAAAUGUUAAUUGCUUGUUCUGUGUUGUUUAGUAGAAAUGGAGUUUACACUCUGUCAUUCAUACACAUGCUCACAUUCUUUCACACGCACUUGCGUCUGUUAAAUGUUAUAAUAUCAGUGUUAAUGUUGUGGUUUAUUUGUGUACUGUCAUGCCAGAAUAGUUUGUAA
ensembl:lncRNA